AGGACAAAAUAUGGUAUAAUCAGAUACUAGGUUCAGGAAGGAGGUUAUACUUCACAUGUUACAUCCAAAUAUCAAAGAGCUGGAUCAGAGACCCACUACUUAAAUUCAGUUUAAAAGUGUAACUCAUUCAGGAAUGGAACAUUACUCCAAUGCGCCUUUCAAAAAUUGGGGCAGGUGUUCCCUUGCACAAUGAUAAACACGUAUGGCAAAACAAAAACAUCUCAUGAUCCAAUCAAAAUGUGUAUAGAUCAAAUAAAAAAAACUAUUGAAAGAUAAAUCUUAAUAACAACAAUAACCAAAUGAUUGCUUUGAGGCAUUUUCCUCAUCUAAAAGACAUAAGAAUUGAAAUUGAAGCAAGAUACAUCUCAUAAUGGUAAUCAAAAGACUUGAAUAUCAGUUUCAUCAUCAUUCAGCAUCACAGUACAACCAGAUUUGUAAAUCUCCUUCAUUUCAAAUUUCAAAAAAAGUGAGAAUUCAACUAGCUACAGGAAUUGAAUGUCACUAUUUUUCCUUCUUUUUUUUUCACCUUUUCUUCUUUGCAAUUGUCAAUCUCAACAACUACAUUUCAUUAUCUAGAUCUUUUUCACAAUGCGAAACAUGUAAAACAAAUCCCAGAGUUAAAAUGUUAAGACAAACAUGCAAAAUGAAACCAAAAAUUAAUGUACCAAAUCUACAAAAAAUAAAAUAAAAUAAAACCACUAACCUUAGCAGUUCAGAUGGUAGAAUACAGGGAUGAAAUUAACCAAGUUCUUGGCACAGGACCAUUGAUGCAUAAUUUCAAUGUUAUAGAAGGAAAUCAGGAAUUACUGGUGUUUGCGCAGCCACAUUUAAGGGCCCUUCAGCUCUUUGUUUUGUUUUAUGCCUACUAUGGCGAUGUCUACUCUUCUGCUUUUCUUUUUCCCCAUCUCCAAUUUCAUCAGAAUUCUUUUUCUCUGGACUUUUCCUGCUUUUCUCUUUGCCAUGGCUCCGGUGUUUGCUUCUUCGUGAACUUGGAUUUCCAAGAUCAGGCUUUUCUACACCUAAAAUUUCUCUCGAUUCAGGAAGAUCAACAUUCAGUUUCUCCUUCCCUUUUCUUAUACUAGAUGAUUUAUCAGAUAUAAUGCUUUGUGACGAAGCAGUUUUGGCUACAUUACCUAAAAGAAUAUCUCGAACAGCAUCAGAAAGCAAAUCAUCUCUUGUAUCUGAUUUCUUGGCAAUGAUUGGUGCUACAUCUCCUUCAUCCAACUUCACCACCACAGGUCUAGGCUUUGCAUGGUUUGACCUUCUCUUUGGGAGAAGUGAUUUGUCAGUAAGCUUAACUAGAUCUUGAGCAUCAUCAUUGGUGUUAUCACUGGAUUUAGGGUCAUUUGCAGGCGGAUAAUCAUUUGCUAAAGUUUCAUUCUUCUCUGACGGUAGGUAGUACAACCCAUGUCUCUUACGGUGUUCUGCAAGCAAAGAAGUGGACUCACUUGAUGGUUCUGACUCUUCUUUGCUUUGGGGGAUAGAGACAGAAGCACCAACACUCUCCCCAAAAGGACUUCCCAUGGAAAAUGAAAUUGAUGAAGGUAACUGUACAUUUCCACAAAUUGCGUCCAAGUCAGCAAGAUUCUCCUUAAGCAUUAAUCCAUCAGGAAUAGGAACUUUCUCUUGAGCAUUUACUGAGACUGGCCCAAGCUCCUCGGUGAAGGCAUCAUGCACCAUGUCAAUAAUUUUGGAUGCUCUCUCGGAAACAAAACCAUGGGAUAUUUCUUGCUUUAGCAGGUCAACAAAUCCAAGCACAUUAUUAGAUCGCUCCUGCACUUCAACAUCAGGGCUUCCUGAUAGUGGGCCCAAGGCCAGUUCAAUUAAGUUUAACAGGUUAACAAUAGAUUCAUGUGUGAAACCUUUCUCCAGAACAGCAGAUACAUCCCCUUCAUUUAUAAUAGAAAGAUCUUCAUAUGAUUUAUUUGAAUCCCUUGGAUUGAACCCUUCAUCCUGUUCUUGACAAGCAGGUGCUUUGCCUGUUACUAAAGCAGAACUUCCUGAGCAUUCACCUUGAGAUUUUAAACCCAGCAUCUCUGAUGCCACAUCAUCAGCAAUAUUUUCCCUUUGUAAGAGGUAUGAAUGUAAACAAAAUAUUAAGAUUUUAAAAGCAGACUGAAUGUAAACAGUUCUGAUUGAUGGAGGCAAGAGGCUAGUACGAGGUUGUAGCAGUGCUUCCACAAGUUCAACUGGUUUCCUUGAAAAUUCCACAUACUCCCCACACACCCAAGCAGCAGCAGAUAAGAUCCUGUGCAAGAAAGAAUUCCCAAGUAAUGCAGGAUCAAUCAGCAGAUCACGACCAACACGAACAAGCUCCGGUCUAACAUCCUUAACCCUCAUACCUAUAUCAAUAAGCUGAUUCUCAAUUUCUUCCCCCUUUUGGCAAUGUGGAAUCCUAGACAUUUCCCCAAGCAGUGAUACAUACCAAUCAAAGUCUACUAUAAUCUCAUAUACGUUCUGGCAACACUUUGAUAAAAUUGAACCAAGAAUCUCAUUGCAGAACUCAGGAUCAGAUUUGAGUGAAUAAUUAACCAAAACCCUGCAAAUUUCCACCACAUUACUCUCAGACACCAUUGCCACAACAAGACGCAAAGACUCAAGUUUUACAUUAGGAUCAUCAUCACUCAGAGACUUGAUUACAACCUCUUUAUUCUCCAACACUGCCCACAGAUGAUUUGGUGCUAUAAUUGACAGCGCAUGCAAUCCAAGAUACUUAAGGUUUGGAUCAUCAUCCACCAAAAAGUCGCGAAUUUUUGCAACAGAAAGCUUUACUGCAGAUUCAUAGUCAGUAAAACUAGUCACCACAGUCCUGAUACACUCAAACAUCAAUGAUUUCGCCCCAGUUCUCCUCAUAUGCUCACAAAUUGGUUCAACAACCCUUUUAGCCAACCUAGGCUCCAAAGGAGCCAACUUAGCAAAAAUCUUUAACACUUUAAUCAACACCCAAUUGUUCCUUGAAUCAACCAAAAUCCUAUAAAACUCGGGUGCUAAGGGAAGAUAGGAUCUGGGGUCUUUGGAAGCAAGCUCACAGAACACUCCAACAACUGCAGACACAAUCUGCGGAUCAGUACCAUCUAAACACUCGACCAGUCUCUUAAAACACACCCUAACCGCAUCUGGGUAUUUCCCAAAAACCCUCAAAACCACGCCUAUAGCUUUCUUUCUAACAAAAACCUUAGAACUCGACAAUAAAGUGAAAACUUCAGGAGUAAGAUCCCUGCAUAAAUCAGCAGUACCAAUUCUGGAUAGGCAAUCAAGAGCUAAACUCACCUCGAACUCAUUAUUACUCUUGAGAUCUUUCCGCAACUGGUUGGUGAUCAACAAAAUAACAGAUGUGGAUUCGUUAAAGGACAUAGAUAUCGCAAGGUAACCAACCUUCUUGUGGGAGAAAUUGGGAGAGGAUAUGCAUUCAAUAGCAUGAAAAGCCGCCCAUGACAUGUCAGUAAAAUGAAUGGAAUUGAGAUAAGUAAGUUUCUGAAGUGCUAUAGAUUUGGUGUGCAAGUCGGUCGAUUUGAUCUCGCGCCGGAUUUCUUCGACCACUUUGGAAAUGAAAGCGGACUCUCCGGCCUGCUGAUGGCGGAGGCCCUUGAUUAUAUCGUCCAAUGUGCGUUGAAAAAGAGUGUCCAUGAGCGAAGGGGAUGCCAUUAGACAGAAAGAGGGAAUUGGGAUAUUGGUUUAAGGAUUGAAUGGAUACAUAAUUAAGAAGAAGGGAUCUGCAGAGAAAAGAUUGGGUAUGGGAAUGGGCAUGGAUCGGAGGAUUUGGGGGUCCGUGGAGGUAACUGUUGGUUUUACGGAAGCGUGUCGAAGGUGGAAGCUUUGAUCUGGGCUGCUGCGAUUUUACUUGGCUCUGUGCACAGCCG
rnacentral:misc_RNA from 1 species